rnacentral:rRNA from 1 species
GAUGAACGCUGGCGGCGUGCCUAAUACAUGCAAGUCGAACGAAAGGGCGAGAAGCUUGCGUCUCUGAUGUUAGCCGCGGACGGGAGAGUAACACGUGUAUAACCUACCUAUCAUACUGAGAUAACUUCGGGAAACCGUAGCUUAUACCAGAUAAUAUUUUGAACCGUAUGGGUCGAAGGUGAAAGACGGUCUUGCGGGCACUUAUAGAUGGAUCCGGGCUGCAUUAGCUAGUUGGUACGGUAACGGCUUACCAAGGGAACGAUGCAUAGCCGACCUGAGAGCGUGUUCGGCGACAGUGGAGCUGAGACGCGGUACAGGCACCUACGGGAGGCAGCAGCAGGUACUGGAGCGCGAUGGGCGGAAUCCUGACGGAGCGACGGAGGCUGAGUGAUGCAGCUCUUCGGGUGGUAAAACGGUGUUAUUGGUGAAGACCACAUGUGUCUGUAACUGUGCGCGUCUGGACGGUAUCUAUACAGAAAGCCACGGCUAAUUACGU